ACGCUCUCUGAAGUCUCAACAGAUUAGGUUUGGAAGUAUUUCCAUAGAUCAUAUCUGCAUAAUCUAAUAGAGAUGACUUCAGGAACGCCGGAGAUACCUUCCUGCGCCGUGCUUGCCAGCACACCGCGCCUCAUCGGCAGCAUUAGGAAAGGAUGCGCUUCUGUUUGAAUUUAAAAAAAAAAAAAAAUUCUUUUCAUUCAAUUUCCGGAACAAUGCUAAAGGGUGUUUAGAAAACAUUCUGAUUCUGUUGGGAAGGCUCUAUCUUGGCCCGAGCAACAGGGGAGAGAUGGCCGGUCCCAAGGAGAAGCAAGAGACAGGCGCCCAGUCAAGUUUGUGUAAUCUUUUGCCCAACAGCAGUCACUAGGAGGGCAGCCGAGGAGGUCACUAGGAGGACAGCCAAGAAACAGAGCAUAAAUAAGAUCUCAGACACCUGAAGCUGCCACUCUCUGAUGGCAUGGGGUAGCAGGAAGAUCCCCAAAGAGGAAGAGCCACAACUGAAGGGAUGGAGCCAGGCCUUCCUUAGAGCCCCCUUGCCGAGCAAUGGGCAUGAAGGAAAGACCAGACCUCAGCUGACGCAGGGAAAGGGACCCGGUAAUAUCGCCCAACACUUUACACAAGGAGCUUGGUACCCGGAACUUCACCUGGUUAAGUACGGCAGCUGGGAUCGUGGCUUUAAAAUCUCUCUGGUGGUCAGGAACUAUGGCAGAUACAGAGAAGAAAAGGAGAGGUGCCCUGAGCAUCCUGCCCACCCGUGGUCAAGAAAUAAGAGCGAUGCCCAUGCGAACCCAGCCUUGUGGUGGACAAGCAAAUGGUGUCACCAGGGGGCUCGUGGCAGGUGGCCCUGCACAUGCCUGACAGAGUCCUGCACGCUCCUCGGUGGGUAUCCAGGAGUCAAGGCUCAAGCUUGCUUCUAGAGCAUUCCUCUCUCGGUGCAAGAACAAAAGAGAUGCACGCCUUCAUUAGUUAGACUUCUGCGGAGUUCUAAAUCAAACCACAGCAUUCAAAUUUUAAAAGUUUGAUCAUCUGAGAAAUAAGGAUAUUAAAUAUGAUUAAAUAUGAUUGCAGUUGAGGGUGCAGGCUGCUCUUCCAUUACUUGCUUUGAUUAAAAAAAAAAAAAGCUAUCUGAGCUUCGAGGGUGAAAAGUUAAAUGCAGCAAGGAAGAAAAUAAAAGCCAGUGAGUCUGUAGCUGGUCUUACUUU
rnacentral:lncRNA from 1 species